CGCGCUGAACUUAAGCAUAUCAAUAAGCGGAGGAGAAGAAACUAAGGAGGAUUCCCCUAGUAACUGCGAGUGAAGCGCGAAAAGCUCAAAUUUAAAAUCUGGCGGUCUUGCGGCCGUCCGAGUUGUAAUCUGGAGAAGCGUUUAUCCGCGUCGGACCGUGUACAAGUCUUCUGGAAGGGAGCGUCGUAGAGGGUGAGAAUCCCGUCUUUGACACGGACAACCGGUGCUUUUGUGAUGCGCUCUCGAAGAGUCGAGUUGUUUGGGAACGCAGCUCAAAACGGGUGGUAUAUUCCAUCUAAAGCUAAAUAUCGGCGAGAGACCGAUAGCGAACAAGUACCGUGAGGGAUAGAUGAAAAGCACUUAGGAGAGAGAGUUAAACAGUACGUGAAAUUGUAGAAAGGGAAACGUUUGAAGUCAGUCGCGUCGGCCGAGACUCAACCUCGCUUCUGCUCGGUGCACUUCUCGGUAGACGGGUCAGCAUCAAUUUUGACCGCCGGAUAAAGGUCGAGGGAAUGUGGCAUCCUUCCGGAUGUGUUAUAGACCUCGAUUCGAGCUACGGCGAUUGGGAUUGAGGAACUCGGCGCUUUGCGUCCAGGAUGCUGGCAUAAUGGCUUUAAGCGACCCGUCGUGAAACACGG
rnacentral:rRNA from 1 species